rnacentral:tRNA from 1 species
GAUCUUAUAGUUUAGUGAAAAUACAAAGUUGCAAACUUUGAGAAACAUGUAAUGUGUUGAGAUUU